rnacentral:rRNA from 1 species
UGGGAACCGGCGUAAGGGGCAGUAAGGCGUAGGUACCUACCCCCAGGUCCGGGAUAGCCCGCCGAGAGGCGGGGUAAUACCGGAUGACCUCGGGAGAGCAAAGCUCCGGCGCCUGAGGCGGGGCCUACGUGAUAUUACCUAGUUGGCGGGGUAACGGCCCACCAAGGGGGAGAUGUCUAGCGGGUGUGAGAGCACGACCCGCGCCACUCGCACUGAGACACUGGCGAGACAC